rnacentral:rRNA from 1 species
UACGGGGGAGCAAGCGUUGUUCGGAUUUACUGGGCGUAAAGGGCGCGUAGGCGGCCACCGCAAGUCGACUGUGAAAUCUCCGGGCUUAACCCGGAAAGGUCAGCCGAUACUGCGGGGCUAGAGUGCAGAAGGGGCAACUGGAAUUCUCGGUGUAGCGGUGAAAUGCGCAGAUAUCAGGAGGAACACCGGUGGCGAAGGCGGGUCUCUGGGCCGAUACUGACGCUGAGGAGCGAAAGCGUGGGGAGCGAACAGG